rnacentral:rRNA from 1 species
GUGGGGAAUAUUGGGCAAUGGGCGAAAGCCUGACCCAGCAACGCCGCGUGAAGGAAGAAGGUUUUCGGAUCGUAAACUUCUAUCCUUGGUGAAGAUAAUGACGGUAGCCAAGAAGGAAGCCCCGGCUAACUACGUGCCAGCAGCCGCGGUAAUACGUAGGGGGCAAGCGUUGUCCGGAAUGAUUGGGCGUAAAGGGCGCGUAGGCGGCCCGGUAAGUCUGAAGUGAAAGUCCUGCUUUUAAGGUGGGAAUUGCUUUGGAUACUGUCGGGCUUGAGUGCAGGAGAGGUAAGCGGAAUUCCCGGUGUAGCGGUGAAAUGCGUAGAGAUCGGGAGGAACACCAGUGGCGAAGGCGGCUUACUGGACUGUAACUGACACUGAGGCACGAAAGCGUGGGGAGCAAACAGGAUUAGAUACCCGAGUAGUCC